AUUGAACGCUGGCGGCAGGCCUAACACAUGCAAGUCGAGCGGGGUUUUCGGACCUAGCGGCGGACGGGUGAGUAAUGCGUAGGAAGCUGCCCGAUAGAGGGGGAUACCAGUUGGAAACGACUGUUAAUACCGCAUAAUGUCUACGGACCAAAGUGUGGGACCUUCGGGCCACAUACUAUCGGAUGCGCCUACGUGGGAUUAGCUAGUUGGUGAGGUAAUGGCUCACCAAGGCGACGAUCUCUAGCUGGUUUGAGAGGAUGAUCAGCCACACUGGAACUGAGACACGGUCCAGACUCCAACGGGAGGCAGGAGUGGGGAAUAUUGGACAAUGGGCGCAAGCCUGAUCCAGCCAUGCCGCGUGUGUGAAGAAGGCCGUCGGGUUGUAAAGCACUUUCAGCGAGGAGGAAGGGGUGUGUGUUAAUAGUACACACCUUUGACGUUACUCGCAGAAGAAGCACCGGCUAACUCUGUGCCAGCAGCCGCAGUAAAAC
rnacentral:rRNA from 1 species